rnacentral:rRNA from 1 species
CAGUAGCCACGGGAAUACGGAGGGGGCUAGCGUUGUUCGGAAUUACUGGGCGUAAAGCGCACGUAGGCGGCUUGGUAAGUUAGAGGUGAAAGCCUGGAGCUCAACUCCAGAAUUGCCUUUAAGACUGCCGAGCUAGCAGGUGAGAGAGGUAAGUGGAAUUCCGAGUGUAGAGGUGAAAUUCGUAGAUAUUCGGAAGAACACCAGUGGCGAAGGCGGCUUACUGGCUCAUACUGGACGCUGAGGUGCGAAAGCGUGGGGAGCAAACAGGAUUAGAUACCCGGGUAGUCCCUGUCUCUUAUAC